AUGUGUCUUCUUGAAAGAGGCACCACGAAGUUUCAUUUCUAAUUAUGGCUACUGCAAGAUUUGCUGGGUUAGAAAUCUUCAGAACAAAACGUAGACACUAGCCAUGUUUAGACAUUAGUUGUAAGAGAGCACAUUAGACGGGUGAGCAAGCUGGGGCACCUGCAUGAGGUCCAUCAUGGGAUGAGGUCAGACCUCCAACCCACUCUGGAGGAUGGCACAUGUUCUCUGCCCACCAAGGUGGCCUCUAGACAGGCAGCUUUGCACCUGGUGCCCAGAUGGAGCUGCUCUUGCACUCAGUCAUUUCUCAGCAGUUCUUACACAAGUUGCAAGUCCUUCGAUUUAGAAGUGGUUCAUGCAUUUCUAUGAAAAAUGUGUAGGAUGAGAACCUUCCAACCAAUCUCAGCAUUUGAUAGCCUUACUCCUUUCCCAGGCUGCUGAAGCUUCUCUGAAGCACAGCCCUGUGUUGUUAUGCACAGAAAAACCAUCUCCGGUGACUUCUCCUCCCACUCAGUGCUGUUUCCAUCUAAGCCCCCAUUCAUUCUCCUCCAAGUCUCAACAGCAACUGAGUGGGAGCCACAAACAUGCUGCCACUGGCAGCUCUCAUGGCCACAACUGCUUGGUUUUAUGGAUUUGCUCAAGAAAUUCCAAUACAGAGACCUGUAUCCAUCGCCAGGUUCCAGAAAAGUGCACGUAUGUUCUGUGAAAUGAAUAAAUUACCAGGAAGUUUUGAUAGCACCGUCAUACACUGGUAUCAACUGAAGGAGAAUAAAGCUCCGGAGAGGAUACUCUUCUACGUAGGAGGGAAAACUACAGUCGAAAGUGGUUUUCAAGAGAACAAGUACAUGGUUGGUAAAGUUUCUAGUCGGAAUCUGUGUAUGCUUACAAUAAAUGAUGUAAUUCCAGACGACGCUGCUACGUACUACUGUGCCUACUGGGACCCGCACCGUGAUAGGGGCUCAGAGAGCAUCACGCCACAAAUCUCCUUCAACCACUCCUUCAGUCUGAACCACAGAUGGAUUUACAUGGGAAAUUCCCAUACAGAGCCCCGUAUCCAUCACCAAGUCACAAGGAAGUAUACGUCUGCAAUGUCAUUUUGGAGACUUCUCUGGAAAUUUUGGUAACACUGUCAUACAUUGGUAUCAGCUGAAAGAGAAUAAAACUCUGGUGAGGAUGACCUACUUUACAUCAGGGGCAACAGUAGUAGAUGAGAGCUCC